rnacentral:rRNA from 1 species
GACGAACGCUGGCGGCGUGCUUAACACAUGCAAGUCGAACGGAAAGGCCCUGCUUUUGUGGGGUGCUCGAGUGGCGAACGGGUGAGUAACACGUGAGUAACCUGCCCUUGACUUUGGGAUAACUUCAGGAAACUGGGGCUAAUACCGGAUAGGAGCUCCUGCUGCAUGGUGGGGGUUGGAAAGUGUCGGCGGUUGGGGAUGGACUCGCGGCUUAUCAGCUUGUUGGUAGGGUAGUGGCUUACCAAGGCUUUGACGGGUAGCCGGCCUGAGAGGGUGACCGGCCACAUUGGGAAUGAGAUACGGCCCAGACUCUUACGGGAGGCAGAAGAGGGGAAUAUUGCACAAUGGGCGGAAGCGUGAUGCAGCAACGCCGCGUGCGGGAUGACGGCCUUCGGGUGGUAAACCGCUUUCGCCUGUGACGAAGCGUGAGUGACGGUAAUGGGGAAAGAAGCACCGGCUAAUUACGU